AAGUCGUAACAAGGUUUCCGUAGGUGAACCUGCGGAAGGAUCAUUAUCGAGUUCUGACAUGGAUUGUCGCUGGCCUCUCGGGGCAUGUGCACAUUCAUUGCUCAUCCACUCACACCUGUGCACACACGUAGUUGUUGUCUCUCUGAACCUGUUGAAAGGAGUCUUCGGAUUCUGGAAGAUAGGGGACGAAGCGGCACUACAUUUUUAUACACACGCUUAAAGUCUAGAAUGUCUUAUUGCUAUAAACGCAUUUAAAUACAACUUUCAACAACGGAUCUCUUGGCUCUCGCAUCGAUGAAGAACGCAGCGAAAUGCGAUAAGUAAUGUGAAUUGCAGAAUUCAGUGAAUCAUCGAAUCUUUGAACGCACCUUGCGCUCUUUGGUAUUCCGAAGAGCAUGCCUGUUUGAGUGUCAUGAAUCUCUCAACUCCUAAAGUUUGUAAUGAACGAUAGGGGCUUGGACUUGGAGGCUUGCCGGCGUUCGUCGGCUCCUCUUAAAUGCAUUAGCUAUGGAUCACAAUGUGUACGAUCUACGGUGUGAUAUAUGUCUACGCCUAUGGAUCUAUACGAGAGUUACCGCCUCGCAAGGGGUCAUGGUCUUCGGAUCUGUGUGACGACGUGAAUACAAAGCUUCUAAUCGUCUUUGGACAAACCUAUUCUGACAUCUGACCUCAAAUCAGGUAGGACUACCCGCUGAACUUA
rnacentral:rRNA from 1 species